GGCCUCGUAGCUCAGGCGUACAGCAUGCGCGCUCAAAGCGUAGGUCUAGUCCAUGCGUGGGUUCGAAUCCCACCCAAGCUA
rnacentral:tRNA from 1 species